GCCGGCCCUCUCGUUUAGAUUGAGGAGCUUGCUCCUGAUUGAUAAACAUUUGAGUGAGUGGCGGACGGGUGAGUAACACGUGGGUAACCUGCCCUAAAGUGGGGGAUAACAUUUGGAAACAGAUGCUAAUACCGCAUAAAACCUAGCACCGCAUGGUGCAGGGUUGAAAGAUGGUUUCGGCUAUCACUUUAGGAUGGACCCGCGGUGCAUUAGUUAGUUGGUGAGGUAAAGGCUCACCAAGACCGUGAUGCAUAGCCGACCUGAGAGGGUAAUCGGCCACACUGGGACUGAGACACGGCCCAGACUCCUACGGGAGGCAGCAGUAGGGAAUCUUCCACAAUGGACGAAAGUCUGAUGGAGCAACGCCGCGUGAGUGAAGAAGGUUUUCGGAUCGUAAAACUCUGUUGUUGGAGAAGAAUGUAUCUGAUAGUAACUGAUCAGGUAGUGACGGUAUCCAACCAGAAAGCCACGGCUAACUACGUGCCAGCAGCCGCGGUAAUACGUAGGUGGCAAGCGUUGUCCGGAUUUAUUGGGCGUAAAGCGAGCGCAGGCGGUUUCUUAAGUCUGAUGUGAAAGCCUUCGGCUCAACCGAAGAAGUGCAUCGGAAACUGGGAAACUUGAGUGCAGAAGAGGACAGUGGAACUCCAUGUGUAGCGGGAUU
rnacentral:rRNA from 2 species